AAGUUCCCGGAGGAGAUCACCCAGCUCAUCAUGCUAGAGCACUUUUUCAAUGUGCUCCCCAACGACAAGGCGACAACGCAUUCGUAUGUCAAUCCAUAUCAACUUUCGAUGCCAUUUACGUCGCCUACCAUGGUGACCACGGGUAAUGGGGAAUCAGGGUUCGAUUCCGUACAGGGACCCUGACAAACAGCUACCACAUGCAAGGAAGGCA